CUCUUGUGAGGUAUCUACUAAAUAAGUUCCAUAUUCACUAAUGUUGUAGCCACUGAGACAAAAAGUAGAAUGUUUCCUAUUAAUCUGAAAGUCUUAAACCACUGGAAUCUACAAAUAUUACGAAAUCAACCCAUCAUGGGCAAUUUAGUUAAAAAGCAAACGUAGCCAAAGUCAAGAAUUUUUUAAAAUACAUCUAUAUAUGACAUCAAACAUAUAUAGGAACAAGCGCUUAGAGUGAGUAAUAAAAAGACCUUGAGCCUUGACAGUCUGUUUCUCCACCUUGGCCUACAUACCUUGCAUUGUCCCUGUUUCUUCCUCAAUCUCCUACAAUCUCUUCUUCAUAUCUUCCAAUUCUUACAAUUCAAACCCC
rnacentral:lncRNA from 1 species